CCAGCCGCCUCCACCAUGCUCCCGAAGUUCGACCCCAACGAGAUUAAAGUCGUAUACCUGAGGUGCACCGGAGGUGAAAUCAGUGCCACUUCUGCCCUGGCCCCCAAGAUCGGCCCCCUGGGUCUGUCUCCAAAAAAGGUUGGUGAUGACAUUGCCAAGGCAACGGGUGACUGGAAGGGCCUGAGGAUUACAGUGAAACUGACCAUUCAGAACAGACAGGCCCAGAUUGAGGUGGUGCCUUCUGCCUCUGCCCUGAUCAUCAAAGCCCUCAAGGAACCACCAAGAGACAGAAAGAAACAGAAAAACAUUAAACACAGUGGGAAUAUCACUUUUGAUGAGAUCGUCAACAUUGCUCGACAGAUGCGACACCGAUCCUUAGCCAGAGAACUCUCUGGAACCAUUAAAGAGAUCUUGGGGACUGCCCAGUCUGUGGGCUGUAAUGUUGAUGGCCGCCACCCUCAUGACAUCAUAUAUGACAUCAACAGUGGUGCUGUGGAAUGCCCAGCCAGUUAAGCACAAAGGAAAAUAUUUAAAUAAAGGAUCAUUUGACAACUGGUGGAAAAAAAAAAAAAAAAAA